rnacentral:lncRNA from 1 species
CUUUGAUUCCUCUACCUCCAUAGGCUAUGGACAGCAGUUUGAAAGGCGUAUCUUGCAAGAUACACGUGUGUUUGGUCUGGUGAUCAACCUGAUAUGAGAUCAAUGAGAGCAUUCCAUUCAGUUGUAAACUUAUCCAGAAGCAGCCCUGAUGCUACAUCUUUCCAGACUUUUUCUGAGUAGGUGCAAGAAAAGAAUAGGUGUUGCCUAAUUUCUUGUGCCUCCUGACAUAGAACUCAAGUAGCAUCAGCAGUACUAUUCCAAAGGAGGAGCCUAUCUCCUGUUGCCAAUCUAUUAUGAAUAGCCAACCCCAGGUUGUGAAUGAGUACUUAGGUGUUGAAUUGGUGAACCAAACACCUUUAUACCAUUCCUAUCUCAUCUUGUAUUUAAUUCCACCAUGUAAAGUUAAUCUAAGGUGCACGACUGGAAAUCAAACAUGAUUGAUGAUUUACGUAAGAUUAUCACGAUGAAAAAAUAGUUAUGUUUUAAUUGCUGAUGUGACGAUCGAUGUGAAAUCAUACACAUGUGUAGUUAGACGGUGAACGUCUUGUUAUAGUUAUUGAUAUUCAUGACCUGUUACCUAUUAAUAUACGCCUAGAUAACAUUUGUUUUACUAAAAGUCCCAUUAUAUAAUAUCAUCACUUUAUUUAAUAGCAGAUAGUUUCUCUCUUCGUAACCAUUUCCAAUCCACCUCUACUAUAAGGAUCUCU